UCUGGGGUUUGAUGUUUAAGGAACAGGUUCCCAGGACUAGGCUGAAAGACUCAAGUAAGUUUCUUCAUGGUUCUGGCCAGAGGAGGCCAAGUACCAUCAGGGAGCCAUCAGGGAGCAGACGUGGUCACCUGACUAUAAAUUUCUCCGUCCAGCCUGUAAGCAACCUUCCGCCCUCCUCCCAGCCCAGUGAAGACUCCAUGCUGUUGGAAGCUGAGCGAACCAGCGGCAGUUUCUCACAUUUCCCGGGAAGGUCUCAGCUCACAGCAGACAGAGAGAGAAGACAGUGGGAGAGAGAGAGAGAAAUGUCAGUGUGAAAGAGGAACGUCAACUGUCCGCCUCUGGAACACGCCCAGUGACCCCCCGAUUCCUGGGUUCCAACGGAAACACAGACACUGAGACCGGUAUCAGUGAUUCCAACAGCUACCACACGACACCCUUGCCAGUGGCAUCUCUAGUCAGUUUGAAUAUGCCCAUG